rnacentral:rRNA from 1 species
UUUGGUNAUGGGCGCAAGCCUGACCAGCCAUGCCGCGUGCAGGAUGACGGUCCUAUGGAUUGUAAACUGCUUUUAUACAGGAAGAAACACUCCCUCGUGAGGGAGCUUGACGGUACUGUAGGAAUAAGGAUCGGCUAACUCCGUGCCAGCAGCCGCGGUAAUACNGGAGGAUCCAAGCGUUAUCCGGAAUCAUUGGGUUUAAAGGGUCCGUAGGCGGUCUGAUAAGUCAGUGGUGAAAUCCCUACGCUUAACGUAGGAACGGCCAUUGAUACNUGUCAGACUUGAAUUAUUAGGAAGUAACUAGAAUAUGUAGUGUAGCGGUGAAAUGCUUAGAGAUUACAUGGAAUACCAAUUGCGAAGGCAGGUUACUACUAAUGGAUUGACGCUGAUGGACGAAAGCGUGGGUAGCGAACAGGAUUAGAUACCCUGGUAGUCCACGCCGUAAACGAUGGAUACUAGCUGUUGGAAGCAAUUUCAGUGGCUAAGCGAAAGUGAUAAGUAUCCCACCUGGGGAGUACGUUCGCAAGAAUGAAACUCAAAGAAAUUGACGGA